GUCAAAAUAGAAUUAGCAGUCAAAAUUCUUCAACGCCUGAAAACGCGAUUUCUGAUCCGAAUUUUCCGAUCAGUGAUCAGAUCAGCAGACAAUAGCAUUUGAUUAAGGGUUAGAAAAUGCUUCUGGCGGUCUUAUUUUCCAACUCUGACGGCAACAUCCUCGUCGAACGUUUCAAUGGAGUACCAGCAGAGGAGCGUCUGCAUUGGAGGUCUUUCCUAGUUAAGCUGGGUGCGGAGAAUCUUAGAGGGAUUAAGAAUGAAGAACUCCUAGUGGCUUGCCACAAGUCUGUUUACAUUGUAUACACAAUACUUGGAGAUGUCAGCAUCUAUGUUGUAGGAAAGGAUGCGUAUGAUGAACUUGCAUUGUCUGAAGCAAUCUUU
rnacentral:misc_RNA from 1 species